GCCGGCUUGGCGCAGUGGUAACGCGUCGCACUUGUAAUGCGAAGACCCCUGGUUCGAUCCCAGGAGUCGGCA